GACGAACGCUGGCGGCGUGCCUAAUACAUGCAAGUAGGACGCAGUUGCGAACGGGUGAGUAACGCGUAGGUACCUACCUAUUACAGGGGGAUAACUAUUGGAAACGAUAGCUAAUACCGCAUACUAGUAGAUGGAUCUGCGUUGUAUUAGCUAGUAGGUAGGGUAAGGGCCUACCUAGGCAACGAGACAUAGCCGACCUGAGAGGGUGAGCGGCCACACUGGGACUGGAACACGGCCCAAGCUGCUACGGGAAGCAACAGUAGGGAAUCUUCGGCAAUGGGGGGAAACCUGACCGAGCAACGCCGCGUGAGUGGAGAAGGUUUUCGGAUCGUAAAGCUCUGUUGUUAAGGAAGCGGUACUUAACCAGAAAGGGACGGCUAACUACGUGCCAGCAGCCGCGGUAAUAC
rnacentral:rRNA from 1 species